rnacentral:rRNA from 2 species
UUAAAUUGAAGAGUUUGAUCAUGGCUCAGAUUGAACGCUGGCGGCAGGCCUAACACAUGCAAGUCGAACGGUAACAGGAAACAGCUUGCUGUUUCGCUGACGAGUGGCGGACGGGUGAGUAAUGUCUGGGAAACUG